GACGAACGCUGGCGGCGUGCUUAACACAUGCAAGUCGAACGGAAAGGCCCCUUUGGGGGUACUCGAGUGGCGAACGGGUGAGUAACACGUGAGUAACCUGCCCUUGCCUUCGGGAUAACUUCAGGAAACUGGGGCUAAUACCGGAUAGGAAUCCUUGCUGCAUGGUGGGGGUUGGAAAGCUUCGGCGGUUUUGGAUGGACUCGCGGCUUAUCAGCUUGUUGGUGGGGUAGUGGCUUACCAAGGCUUUGACGGGUAGCCGGCCUGAGAGGGCGACCGGCCACAUUGGGACUGGGAUACGGCCCAGACUCCUACGGGAGGCAGCAGUGGGGAAUAUUGCACAAUGGGCGGAAGCCUGAUGCAGCAACGCCGCGUGCGGGAUGACGGCCUUCGGGUUGUAAACCGCUUUCAGCAGGGGCGAAGCUUGUGGUGACGGUACCUGCAGAAGAAGCACCGGCUAACUACGUG
rnacentral:rRNA from 1 species